rnacentral:rRNA from 1 species
GACGAACGCUGGCGGCGUGCUUAACACAUGCAAGUCGAACGGAAAGGCCCUGCUUGCAGGGUACUCGAGUGGCGAACGGGUGAGUAACACGUGGGUGAUCUGCCCUGCACUUCGGGAUAAGCCUGGGAAACUGGGCCUAAUACCGGAUAGGAGCCAUUUUUAGUGUGAUGGUUGGAAAGUUUUUUCGGUGUAGGAUGAGCUCGCGGCCUAUCAGCUUGUUGGUGGGGUAAUGGCCUACCAAGGCGGCGACGGGUAGCCGGCCUGAGAGGGUGGACGGCCACAUUGGGACUGAGAUACGGCCCAGACUCCUACGGGAGGCAGCAGUGGGGAAUAUUGCACAAUGGGCGCAAGCCUGAUGCAGCGACGCCGCGUGGGGGAGGACGGCCUUCGGGUUGUAAACUCCUUUCGCUAGGGACGAAGCUUUUUGUGACGGUACCUAGAUAAGAAGCACCGGCUAACUACGUG